rnacentral:lncRNA from 1 species
UCCACCGCUGCGUGCUCCCACCCGAAAGGUUUGGACUCACAGGGGAAGGCGAGGGGGGAGUGGGAGAAAAGGAAGAUAGGUGGAGGGGGAAGGGGGUGCUCUUUUCCUCCUCCUGCCAGCGCCAGCUGGGGCGAACUUGAGGUGGCAAACGCUAGUAAACUUUUCUUUAGAAAGUUUAGGUAGCGUGGUUAGUGACAGAGGCUCAGAGGUAGCAAGUAAUGCCGAAGUACGCUUGAGUGGGAGAUUGAGAGAUUGCAGUGUCUCAAGUCCCGAAGCGUCUGAAGAUUCAAGGCUCGCAGGUCAGGUUUGCCUACGGCCCCAGAAGCUCUGGGGCAUCGGAGACCGUGGGGAGUCCUUAGGAGACUGGCUAGACAGGGCUAGGAGUUCCACGGUUUAAGUCGGUAUGGAAGGCACUACCAGGAGACGACUCAGAGCAGUAGCGGGAGAGGCUUGUCUGCCCAGGCGGUAUUAGAUCCAAACGCCGAGGGGCCCAGUCCCCCACAUUCCCCCGCCCAGUGAAGGUUGCGUGCUCCAGGGAGCUUUGGGCAGACGCGCGGGGUUUCGCGUCGCGCGCCGGUUCUCUGAAAACCACGUGCGUCCACGGCCCUAGGCGAAGCCGUUGGGGAAAGCGCCCCCGCAGGGAAGGGGGGCCACGCAGCCAAGACUUGUUUUUUGCAGUGCCCCAGCUUGCGCGCAUCCAUGCUCCGGGCAGAACAAAGUGGCCCAACCCAACUUCUCCACCCUGCGCCCUGGGAAGGAAACGUGGUGCGCCCGCUGGAGCGCGAGGCCGCAGCAGCCGGUUCCACACAAGGCCUGGCCUGGCAUUCUGCUGUUCUUCAUUGUGUACUAAGGGAAUGCAUAAUUUAAUUAUCUCCUCCAAGUGCAACGCACCCUUUUCCUCUUUUGCUUUGGAGCCUAGGAUAUUUCGAAGGGGAAGCUUCUAAAAACUACCUAUCCUUCUAAAGCCGAGUUGGGUUCUGUAGUAACUACUGGGGGAGGGGGGGGGAUACCAAAUCGGCGAUGAGUUUACAGCCUGCAGCCAUUUAUUUAGGCUCGGUGAGCGCCAUUCCAAACCAAGCAGCUCGCGCUAUUUUGGGAGAAGUUGGGGAAUGGAGAGAAAACAAGGUUAUUUAAAGUGACUCCCAGAACGCGACUUUUAUUCCAGGACUCCUAAGUGUCUGCGUCUCGGCUUCAGGUUAGAGCGACCCAGGCGGCCCAGGUUUUGAUAUUUAUACCAGGCCAGCUCCCGGGUGAAACUACCUGUUGGGAGACUCUGCCGCUUAAACCUUCGACCCUCCUCCCCCCUGCGCAAUCCUGGCAGCAGUGGGACGGCUUUAAGGGUGGAAAGAGAAGGGGGAGAGCAGAGGAGCCAGAGCGGCGGAGAAAGUCAGCUGCGCUUGUCAGUGCCCCGCAAGCUGUGCCCGCGCCUCUGCUCCUUCUUCAGGAACUAAAAACAGCCCCCCACACUCUGUUCUCUGCCCCUGCCUGCAGGGAUGGGCCGAAACGGCGUGAUUCUCUAAGUUCGGAAACCACGAAGCGGUGUUGUUGAUGCUUGCGCCUCAUUGCGUGUCUAACUUUAAAAAACAAAAAAGCCUCCUGGCGGCUUUCUUGACUCCCGCCCCCACCUACCACUCCAACACCCAGCACUUUUCCCUGUGCCGAAAUUCACUUUACUACUUUUUUUUUUUUUGAAAUUCGGAGAACUCCGCCGACGCUUGGACGCGCUGCAACGCAGGGGCUGUCUGAAGCUGCUGCGCGAGUGACUUGAGGGAAAUCACUGUUCUUGCGCGCAAACGGAUCUCCGUAUUUUUUAAAAAAAAAAACACUUGGAUAAGGGAGCGCAGCUAGCAAGGACAAUUUGAACAGUGUGUCUACCCUGUUGUGAGAAAUUUUGGAAGCUAGGGGAGGGGGUUGGUGUUUCACACGAACCUGUGGAAAGGACAAUUCGUACUGGGCCUUGGGUCUGGAAGUUCCAUUUGAGAAGCGCAAAGCCCGGGUCUGGCGCGCGUUUAACAACCUUCUUACUAGCAAACUCUCCCCUAGAGCCCGCACAACAUUAAAUUCGGGGGUUUGGAGGCGCAGACUGGACAGGCUUACCCAGGCGCCCAAGGCACUCGGCGUUGUGUCUUUUUUGAAGGUUUCUGUAUUUUGAUAGUGAACCUUACUCCAUACUGGGAGCAGCGAAAUUUCGGAGAGGCUCUACCGCGGACCCCGUUUGAGAUCCAAGAGAACGGGGAGGCUUUUUCUGGGGAACAGCGGCACUUUCUUAGGGCAUGCACUCAUAUCUUUCACGGUCACAAAGUACCCGACUGAAAACGAAAUGGUGACAAAUAUUAGGAAGCUACGGGGAACGAGGGGGUAAGUCUAGUCUUGUUAAGGGUAGUCGUUUUAACAGCAAAGACCGCGGGGCUACGCGGAAAAAACGAGAAUUUAUUAGUGAGGCUUUAUUACGCCAGGAAGAGGGUUGAGACUUCGAGUUAAAAGACCGCUCAGAACGCUUCCCGCGCCGCAAUCCCCACACUCCCUUUUAAAAAAAUCAUCUUGGCAGUAUUAGCCUAUUCGGCCCUUUAGUCACACCCUUAUUCCUAGUCCUUAGUGGCAUUUCCCUGUGUAUCUCCUUCAGGUGCCCAGCCUUUGAGUUGCCUGGGACCUCUCGGCGUCUGGAAAAACUGGUGCAAACUUGCUCUUCGCCAAGCGUGCACCGAAGAGUGGGCUCUCCCCAGGCGGGUGUCUCUGCGGCCCCGGCGACCUUCCCGGGCCUGGGAAACCCGGCGUAUUUUCCAGCACUCAGCCUCGGAGCUCCUGCUUUAUUUCAGUUCAAUCCCAAGGGCACGGAACCAAGGAUGAUAAACAAUGCUGUUUAUUAGAGAUACAAACGGUCGCAGCAAAGAACCACGUAGAGUAAUCAAGUACAGAGGCAUUUUAACAAAUGAUCUGAUAUUCAGCACGGCCUCUGAAAAUGACUUGUACAAAGGAGGACAGGUCUCUAAAAAUACAGAAUUUCACAAAAUGCAGGUUUUGUCAAAAUAUGAUGGUUGGAGCUGUUUUUGUUUGGUUUUGCCUCAGAAGUCUGGCAGAGUUGUUGCUACCUGUCCAUGCCUCGAUGCAAACCGCCCCUUCCCGUCCAACACUUUACAUUGCAAGGCCUCGUUAAAAAAAUAAAAGAAAGAAAGACAAGAAAAUAAAAAGAAAAAAAGAGAAAAAAUAUAUAUAGACGUGAAGGAUCUUCCAGGUGUGGUGUACUCUGAUACCGUUAUCCCAGAUCUCUCAAGAAGUGAAAACACUACUUACCCUUUAGGGAGUGACAACACGAACUUUAGGAGGAGAUGCAAUUAUAACAGGCACGGCCUGAUAAUGCAGAGUUAUGAAAAAUCACACCCCCUUUUUAAAAAUGUAAACGCAGAUACCAUCUGGGUGUUGACCAUGAAAGUGGGGGUUAGGGAUUCCUGUUGGGUGCUGGUAUAACCGAUUUAUGCUCUACCCGAUGGUCUUGGGAAAGGGCUUCCCAUCUGCUCUAAACGCCCGCCUUACAAUGUCAAAAAUCUUCCUGCCUGCAAAUAUUGGCAAGAAGCUGCUAUGACAGUCGGUGCUGCUUUAAAUAGGAAGGAUACCGCCGGGGGAAAAAGAAAGUCGCGACCUUCCUACCCACCAUUCUACCUGCCUCCAGUCCUCAAAAGGCAAAGGAGUUCUAGCAAAGGAGACUCUGAGGAAGAUCUGCCUUCUGAGCAGUGUGGGAAAGAAUCAGCUGUGUUUAGGAACAAAUCUCUGAUUUUCAAGAGCUAGAGUGUACCCAAACUGGUCUCUCCAAAUCAGCUGCUAAGGGGGUUAGAAUCUGAAGUUUGCACCACCUGUGUGGGUUCACUGCACGUUGUUGUUGUUCAGAUAAAGUGAAUUGUUGCAAGAAACUUUAGAAGUGCUUUAGCUCAAUUCUUGUGCACAGUAGGUUCUUUUUAGUUUUUUUUUUUUUUUUUUCCAAAACCCAUUUAUCCAAAAGACCGCUCAUGGAUCCACGAUCUGCUUAGGGAGGGCCUGAUGUCAGAUCUGUAACUCAUGCAGAAUUCUCAUCCUAGGGAACUGGAUUGGGGCUAGCUUUAGUUUGGUCAGGGAUCCCCAUCCCUUUUUGCUCAGCAAGGUCAUCUCUCUCAGCUGGAAAUGGUGGCAGUGCCAACUGCACCCAAGGAACAACCAAAACUUUCUUUUCCCACCCCCUGCCCUAAGCUGACAAUCUUACACUGUGUUCACACAUUAUUCUUUCCCUAGCUUUCUGUACUUAGACCCAGCUCAGCUGUCUCUGGCCCUUUUGGCCCAUCCUAGAUGACAACUUCUCUUGGGAAAGUUUCUGCCUGAUGAGCUCAAGUUUGAGAGACCUCCUUUUGAAAAUACUGAAUUGUAGAAGGCACCUCGGGGGUUUUUGGUGGUAAGCAUGUUGUCUGCUUUUCAAAUCAAUUGGCCUGUGUCUUGUCAUUUUAUAGAUGAAGAAACUAAGGGUUUGGGAAAAGAUUUAAAUUAUUCAAGGGCAUGCAGGGAGCUGAGAGCAGGGUCUGCAGCAGCCCUGUGUCUCUUGACUUGAAGUCCACUUGCUCAAUUUUUAGGAAGGUGCAAUCACUAACAAUAGACUACUGUUUAGUGAGCAUCAACUGUGUGCCAGAGCACGUGCCAUGUCAGAUAUGUUACAUAAGUCAUCCUCACAGCAAUUCUGGGGGAGCCCCAUUAGCCCCAACACAAAUUUUAAAAUAAACUUAAAAAAGGAAUACAUGCACAAGUUAAAAUACUUCAAAAAAUAUGGAAGAGCAUAAAAUGAAAGUAAAAGUCUCCCACUCCACUCCCUCUCCCAGGAUGACAUUUAUACUUUUCAUUUCGGUGGCUGUCUGUGUAUCUCAUAGAUGUUAUCAUCAUUUUAUGAGCAAGUAGAGGAAGGUUCACAAUUAAGCUAAGAAGCCAUGGCUACCUGUCUCCAGGCUCAGCACUGUCAAUUACUCUACAUUAGUUAAGGUGAAUUCGGAGAAAAGAAAUGAGUUGCACCAUAGAUAAAAAAGGCAGGUCAGCUCAGAAUUGACAUUACCUCUCCUUUUCUUUCCUGCCCAAUUGAGGAUCCCACUAAUACUACAUUUUUACCAGAAACUGAAAGCAUAGACUCCUUUUGUGCAUAGAACCAUUUGUGAGGAUGUGUUGCUUCCAGGUCUUGGUGUCAUUGGACAUGUAGCCCUCCACCAUGCCCUGUUACCAGGAUCCCAGUAUUGCCUCUACCCUGUACUAGGUCUGGGACUGGGACAUGCCUCUUAAGCUUUGGAUUUCCCUGCCUCUUCUCAGCAUUGUUGGGGGAUUGCAAUGAAAGACAGGGAGAGGACUGUGUAAAUGUGAAGUCUCUAUGUAAAUAUAGCAGCUGCUUUCCAAAGGCCUCUACAGGACCCUGUGGCCCUUCAGUUCAGACAGUGGAGUUUAAGGUUCUUUGCAAAAUGGUGUGGCUUUGACAUUUGAGGGUUUGCAUAAUGUGUGCAUUUGUGUCAAUAGGGGAAGGGUUAGGAGUGUGUCUAAAUGGAAGAGGGUGCUUAUUUAUCUGCAAAAGAAGAGAGCAGUGCGUGUUUAGAAUCAGGAGAGGUAGGCAAGUGUGGAGUGGACUUCUUUCUGCUGGAGGGCAUAUAGAGCCAAGCUGGUAAGGACACAAAGAAGCAGUUAUCCUAUGUGGGAUGCACAGUGGGGGAAUAAGAGUAGCAAGGUGAGGCUGAAAGGAUGCUUACACCUACCUGUCCCUUUGCUAGGUAGCCACAAGCAAUGGCUGUUCUCAGACUUUUCAGGGCCAGGCAGAGGGAACUGAGGGGGUGACUACAAGAUGGUAUCAGCUUCCCCAAAUGAGUAAUUUAAUUUAUUAUUCCUUUGGGUGACUGAAAAGGGAAGAGAUAUUAGAGAACAGGUGGGAUAUUUCUUCUGGAAAGCUCACCUUGUCUGUGAUGGUUCUUUAUUCUUGAAGAAUUUCUGGAGACAUCCUAAAUUUAUGGGGAUUUCAUGUGAGAAUGAAUGAUAGGCCAUGAGCCUCUUAGGCUUUGCAGGGGAGGAGUAGCUGGGGAGGGGACAAUCUUGCAAGCUGCACACAUCUGAGAUUGUGGGAAAAGAGAUUCUGACCACCACUGGGGAAGAAGGAGAAAAUGGCUUUAAGAUGAUGCAGCGGGGCUGAGUUCUAGGCUGGUUCCAAAGAGAAACUGUGAAAGUAGAGAAAGGUGGCUUUUCUGUAAGGCCCAGCCAGGCUUCAGAGCACUAUUUCAAUGCCUGUCAGGACAAAGGAUGCUGCGCCCCCUGGUGUCAGACUUGAGGCCUGUGCCAGCUAGCUACAUGGAAACCCAGGGACCAGCUGGAGGAAUGGAAGGUCAGAUGCCUUUUCUUCUAUUUGCUAAGGGAGUUGAAAUUGAAAUAGUCCUUGCUUUCUCAACUCUGGAGUCUAAAUAGAGACUCUGGUGUGGAUAGAGGAGGGUUUUAUGCUUUUUUUUCAUGCAAUUUAGGCCAACAGGACAAUGUCUAUUUAGAAAUAAACCUUUGGAGUGGGAAGUACACUAUUCUGAAAGAAAAGACCUGCAUUUUGGGCAAAGUGCUGGUCUGGGGAACAUCAUUUAAAAUUUUUAGGACAUUUCUUUCUUUGUCCAAAAUCCAAAGAAUUUAGAGUAAAAUGUUGUUAAGUUCUUUUCUAAGUUCUAAUAUUGGUCUUUAUUCCUCAAUCAUUAUGCUGCACCCUUCUUUUCUCAGAGCCUCGCAAAUGUGGCUUUUUAAAAAUAUAUAUGCAGGUGCAAAUGUUAUAUAUUUUAGCAUCUUGAGUUCCUGAUUCUGAGCAAAGGUUUUCAAAAGUGCAAAAUAUACCUCUUUUCAACCCCCCAACCCCCCACUCUCCCAACCUUUUGUGGAGCCUCCUGUAAGAAAGCUGCAGAGUGAACAGGACUCCAGUCUCUGCUGUUUCUUUUAAAAAUAAAGUACUGAAGUGUUGUGCUGGAAAUUCUGCUACUAAGUGUCGCAUGUGGUAGGUGUGAAUAUAUGCUUCAAUAGUUCCAGGCACAAGACCAAAAUCUUCCCCAGAAUUAGCAGAGUUUUCAGCUAUAAUCUGGCUAUCAUUUUUCUACAAAUAGGUACAAAGACCAAUUUGGGACUAUGUUCUCUGUAAGGGGUACCUCAUCAAGUUUCCACUGAAAUUUAGGACCAGCCCUAGUACAGUCAGGUGAUUUGAGGAAGGAUCAGUUGUGGAGAAGAAUUAUGUUGAAGUUGAGAGUUUUCUUCUCCUGAAACAUUUAAGUCACAUGUCUGAGGUGAGGAAUCUGUUACAUCUCAAAGCAAAUUUUUUCUUCUGCAUUACACUUGAACUGUUAUCUCUGUGUAAUGGGUACAGUUGUUGUUGUUAAGGAAACUGAUUAUUGAUUUUGCAGAAGUGGAUGGAAUGUGCAACUUUUGUCCUAUAAUUGUGUCACCAUUCCACAUGCUGCAGGCAUGGGCUUCUUUUUUUGUACCAGGGAUUGAACCCAGGGGCACUUAACCACUGAACCACAUCCCUAGCCCUUUUUAUAAUUUCAUUUUGAGACAGGGCCUCACUAAAUUGCUUAGGGCCUUGCUAAGUUGCUGAGGAUGGCUUCGAACUUGGGAUCCUCCUGCUUUAGCCUCCCAAGCUGCUGGAAUUACAGGCAUGUGUCACCGCACCCAGCUGGUGGAGUCCUUAUAAGAAGACAUUAGGACAUAGACAUUAAUAGAGGGAAGACCAUGUGAAGAUAUAGGGAGAAGGCAACAUCUAUAAGCCAAGAAACCAACUCUGCCAACACCAUGAUCUCAGACUUGAGCCUUCAGAACUGUGAGAAAGUAAAUUCUCUUUCUUUAAACCACCAGGCUGUGGUAUUUUGUUUUGGCAGCCCCAGAAAACCAAUAUAUGCUACUACUAGGCAACAAUCAAUUAUAAGCUGCCAUUUGAGGAUGCAGACUCAAAGGCACCAGAUUUUCCAGAGUAAAAUCUUUUGUUUUCGAGUAUUUGCAGCAGGGUUAGCUUCAUGUGACCUGUGCAGUCAUAUAAGGUCCUGUAUAUAGAAGUGGCCCACUGUCAUUUUAAAGCUCUCUUGUCAUCAUCUUAAAAUUUUUAAAUUUUCAUUAAGGCACCCACUCACCUGGCCCUCAAACUAUAUAAGUAGUUACAAACUAUGUAACUAGUCCUAGUUGACAAAAAUUAUAAAUUUAAAAUAUUCUGCAUGUUAAGAUUAUGGUGGAGUCAGGCAUGGUGGCACAUGCCUAUAAUACCAGCUAAUAGGGAUGCUGAGGCAGGAGAAUCCCAAGUUUGAAUGAGAUCAGCCCAAACAACUUAGUGAGAGCCUGUCUCAAAAUAAAGUUUAAAAAUGGCUGUUUUUUUAUGGCUAGUUCAGCAGUAGAGUCUUUGUUUAGCAUAUGCAAAGCCCCAAAUUUAGUUUCUAGUACUGGAAAAUAAAAAAGAAGUUAAUAAAUUAUUACGGGGACCCCCCAAAAACAUGACUGGAACUAGAGGCAGCCUGGGACACUGCACUGAACUUUCUGUUGCUAACUGGAAUAAGAUCUCCCAUUCCACAAUAAUCACAAGGAGGGAAUUUAUGAAGCCCAGAGGUUUUUCUGGAGUGGAAGAAAGUCACAGAUAUUCCCCAGAUGUGAUUUCCUGAGAUUCUACAUACGCUAAUGUGGUCCUGGCCAAGAUUUUUUUCUCAGGGUUGAGCUCUGAGAACUUCACAAUAUGAAGAUCUCGAGGAAAGGCCAAACAUAAGGACCAAAGUAUUUGGGGUCGAAAGCUAUAUCCUGCCUGAAAAUGACUACUGCUGGAAGCUUUUGCAGGUUCAUCCACCCAACCCUGAGUUGGGUUUUGGGAAACUAGAGCUGAGGAUGCCAUCCCGUAUGACUAGCAACACCCUGAGGGACCAUAUGGCCUUCUCUAAAAGCAAGACAGAACGGCAAGAAACAACAGUGAGAAUGGAUGAAUUUGCCUCCCGGUUCCUGCCUGGAGUUUGUAAGCAGGACUUUUCUCCCUUGUGCUGAACCAGUCCUGGGAUUCUUAAGGCAUUCUCAGUUGGGGUGAGUUUGGUGGGCUGAGCUGCAGAGUACAAACUGUCAUGUCUGUUCAAGGGUCUAGGCCAUCCUGAGCACUUAAUUAUAAAUACAUGAUACCCUUCCAUUUCAUGGUGCACAACAUCCCAGUCAAUUCCAAUUCAGACAAGAGAGAUUUUUUCCCCUGGUGAAAGAAACGCCAGUCAUCAGUAAAUAGUCACUGGGAUAUAUGAUGGGGAAGUCCUAUUUUUAAGAAUAUGCAUUGAUUUAUAGAAUCUCACUGAAAAUAUUAUAGCGGAAUGUUUGGUCAGGAGGUCUGCUUUUCUAGUUCUAUUUCUGCCCAGCACUGACUAACUGGAGAGUGUAAAUUUUAAAAGAAGUAAUUUCUUAUGCACGCUAUGCAAACUCCCUUAGGGGAAUGAGUGAAAGACUGUUUGAGACACUGUGCAUUUCUUGGAAGAAAGUUGCUAUAUAAAUUAAUAUAGAGCCCUCUUUUUCAUUGCAGGCCUGCAAGACACACCAAAAGACUCCCGCAAGUCGUGUAAGGGAGAAAACGAAACACUCCACUGGCCUCUAUCAGGGGAAGUUAAUUUUUCCCCUUUUCUGCACAUUUUCAAAACUCUAUAACUCUAAUUUGCAGUACAGAAAAUAAGCUUUUAUAUUUAUUAUUUUUUAUGCUUUGGAUAUAGAGUAUUCCCAAAGGAACAAUGUGUUGUGCUAAGAGUUGUGAGCCUAUUGUGGGAAAGGCUGAGAUUAAGUUACUGCAAGAAGAAGUUCAUUUACACCUGCUUGGUGAUCUAGGAGCCCCAGGUCAGAGCAGCACCUACUUUCUUCCUCCCCACCAGGAAAGAGCAGAGUUGGGGGUGGUGAUCCCAAAAUUAAGACGUUUGGAAUUCUAUAUGUAGCUUUUCUAAGUCCUAAAUGACAAUUCCCUUAAUCAUUUGGAAUAUAAGAAACUUGGCUAAAGGUUUUAGCUUAAAGCCAUUAAUUUAAAAGAAAUGAAAACAUAGGUCUACAUAGAAACUUGUACAUGGAUGUUCACAGCAGAAUUUUCACAAUAGCCAAGAAAGGAAAAGAAUUCAAAUGUCUGUUAACUAAUGAAUGCAAAAGCAUAAUGUGGUACAUCCAUAAAAUGGAAUAUGUAACUAUUCAGCAAUAAAAAGAAAUGAAAUAUUGAUACAUUCAACAACAUGGAGGAACUGUAAAACAUCGUGCUAAUAAGCAAAUUACAAAUGAACACAUGUUGUAUGAUUCUGUAAUUGCAUGAUUCCAUAAUGGAAUUGUACAACAUGUAUUUGUGAUUAGUAUACAUAUCUAUAGAAACAGAAAGCAGACUAGUGGUUGGCUAGGUCUUGGGAAGAAAUAGGGGACAUUGGAGAGUGACAGCAAAGUGGUGCAGAGUUUCUUUGUGGGAUGAUAGAAAUGUUCUAAAAUUAAUUGAGGUGGCAGUUGUAUCACUUGGUGAAUGCAUUCAAAACCACUGAGUCUUGCUGUAAGAGUGAGUCCUAUGAUGUGUGAAUUAUAUCUCAAUAAAGACAUGAAAAGAUUUUUUAAAAAAUGAUACUUAAAAAAAAUAUCCACUGGUUUAUCUCUCUUUCUGAAGCUGAUCACUUUAGAAAAUGUGUUCAAAAUAAAAACAGAUUUUUAUGGGAUAACUGAAAUCAGAAUGUGAAAAAGUGAUUUUUUUCUUAGGUGGGAAGAUUAAUUUGCAUGUCCAUGUGUACUCAAAAUACCUGUACCUGUAAUUCUUUUGAACUUUGCUGAAAAUUUUUUCCUUAGCCUGCAAUCAUUAAAAUAUGUUUAAG